rnacentral:lncRNA from 1 species
UCAGUAUGCACAUUCCUCAAUUCAAACUCUUCUAUCCUUCUAGCCAUAGAUGCUAGCUUUGCCUUCAUGCUCAUGUCUUCAUUCAAAACAUACUUACUACCCCAUUGGCUUUGUUGAACUUGCCUUUUCCCUAACUCAAUCCGAUCCCUCAUGGAUAGGUAUGCAAAUUUGUCCUUCUCAUGAUCAUAAUGAGAGCUUUGAUCUUCAUGUGGAAUUUCCAUUUCUAAAAAAAAUGAUAUUCAACUAAGGCUCUUUUCUUCAACUUGUACCAGGGUUCCCUCUUGGUCUCGAAUCCAAC